CGGAGGGCAUACGUUCUGGUGGGCGUCGCGGGCUUCAAACCCGUCGUUAGAAUCGGUGGCGAUCUCUAUGGGGGGUUCGAUUCCCCCGCCUUCCCG
rnacentral:tRNA from 1 species